GGAGCGACAUGAGAUCACAUG
rnacentral:miRNA from 1 species